GCUGAUGUAGCUCAGUCGGUAGAGCGCGUCCUUGGUAAGGACGAGGUCACCGGUUCAAAUCCGGUCAUCAGCUCCA
rnacentral:tRNA from 1 species